rnacentral:rRNA from 1 species
UCCUACGGGAGGCAGCAGUAGGGAAUCUUCCACAAUGGACGCAGGUCUGAUGGAGCAAUGCCGCGUGAGUGAAGAAGGGUUUCGGCUCGUAAAACUCUGUUGUUGAAGAAGAACGGGUGUCAGAGUAACUGUUGACAUCGUGAUGGUAUUCAACCAGAAAGCCACGGCUAACUACGUGCCAGCAGCCGCGGUAAUA